ACUUGUGUAUGCAACAAAUGUAAUGUGUGUUCAUGAAAGGGUGUCAUAAGUGUGGUAAACGUGUCAAAUAAAAGUGCUUGUGAAUUAAGUGCAGUAAAAUAUGUAAAUGAGAACAUAAGAAACCAACAAGAAUAUUAAAAGGCAUUAACAUUUUAAGAAUUCAUAAUAAUGGGCUUUAUCUGGUGUUUAAUAUGAUGAAGAAUGUUCAAACUAACAUUUUAACAUGCUGAAAAAUUGUAUAAAACAUGCUGAAAAUAUGUUUAUGUACACUAAGCAUGCUCACUUCCAAUGUUUAGAAUGUUAAAGUUAAUUAAUAAUAUGCUGAAACUAUUAUUAUUGCGCAAGUGACUUAACACUAAUGUGUUUAACAAUAUUUAUGUUAACAUGAUGAAGUAGUUAUAACAUGCUGAAAUUUAUUAGAUGCGCAGAAUUUUAAUGUUCUAAUGUUAAUAACAUGCUAAAAUUGUAUAGAUAUACAAGAACAUGAUUUAAACAUGCUGGAAUUUAUUUAAACAUUCUGUAAAUUGUAGUUAAACAUGCUGAAAGUUGUAUUAAACAUGCUGAAAAUCAAGUUUAACAUAUUAGAAUAUGCGAUAGGCUUAAGUAUAUUACUUAACACACGUAUUCAUGGAUAGACAUGCUUAAAAUCAUGAUAAUGCUAAAAAAUAUAUUAACUCGUCUAAACCUAUUAUUUAACAUGCUUACAAGUAUAUUAAUAUGCUAACAUACUUGAUGUCAAAUAAUAUACUAAUGUGCUUGAUGUCAAAUAUGCUAGUAUGUAUUAAUGUCUUAUUUUAACAUGUUAAUAUGUUAGAAUCAAUAUGGAUGUCUAAAAUGUUGAAAAAAUGACUUUAAUGCUCAAGAUACAUGGUAAACCAGAUUCAUCAAUUUCCAUGUUGCUAAAAACUUAAGUCAAUAUGUCAAAAUUAAUUAAAAUUCCUAAAGCAGGAUUUCUAGGUGGCCAAGUAAGUAGGUUAAUAGAUUUUAAAUCAUGUUUUGCGCGUUUCGUAUAGCAUAUAAUACAAGCAAAAAAAAUCCUAAAUUGUGCCUACUACGUUGGUCAUAGAGCACAUAAUCUCCACCCCCAAAGCAGUCCUCCAAAUCUAAUUAUUAUAAUAACAAUAAAAGUGUUUUACAAUAUAUUACAGACCAAAUAGAAAUCAAGGGAAAAAUAACUAGUUAAAAAAAUACAUAGUUUAAAUAUUCCGGCGACUCUUUGAAACUUGUAAGUGUCUGUUUCACCUGCAAAACAAUACAUAAUAGCAAAUAAAUCAAACAAACAUCGAGAAAUUCCUAUAGACAUGUUCCUACAACCGUUAUGCAGUCAGCACAUAUACAGAGAAUAAAAUAAUUGCAUCGAUUCUUGAACUUACCUGUAGCAGCAGUAUGAGAGAUAAUGAAAGUAACAAAGACUAAGCGAUUUGUAACGGUGAAAUAUGCUAAGUGUUUUCAGCAACCUUGCAGGAAUGCAAAAGAACUUUUAAGUAUAUCGUUGCUUUAUAUUAAUAUAACUGAUCUUUUAUUUACGAGAGUAAUAGUAGUAGUUGUAAUAGAACUUGUGAACUUCAGACCUCUGUUAAUUGAAAAGGAUAAGUGUUUAUAUAGUAGGGGGUCUAGAGGGUAAAAAGGAAAAAAUAUUUUUACAAUCAAUCAGAAUCAAUUAAGGAAAGGAAAAUAUUUGAUUGAAAUCAGUCAAUGGUUUUUUUUCCAUAAACAAAAAAAUCAUACUUGUAAUAUAAGAUUUGGUAAAAGCCAAUAAAGGAAAAUAUUGGUUGAGUGAAUCGAUUAUAUUAUAUAAAUAAUUUAAAAUCAUUCUAACCUUAAUAAAAGGAAAGAAGUAUUAAUCAACAGAGCAUGUGGUGUGGUCAAUCAACACAACUGCCUUAAAUAUAAAGACAUAAUCAGUCGAAAUAAAUAGAAGGAAAAAUAUCAAUUAAUCCAAAUAUUCCUUCUGAAUCAUGUAGAUUAAUUAAGGAAAAUCAUUAUCUUAGCAUAAAAAGGCCAAAAUAAAUUAUGAAUGUGUCAAUCAGUAACAUAUCCCAAGAUUCCCAGAACUGUGUCAAAUUGAUCUUGCAGUGGUUUGUGAAAAUUUAAAAAUACGUUAACUAAAGAACCAAAUAAGAUAUGAAAUUAAAACAAUUAGGUCAGAAAAGUCAACACCAUACAUCACUGAUUCUAAAUUUAACGAUCUAUCAAAUAAUGAGAAAACGAUGAUAACGUUAAUGCAAUUAGAUAAGGAUGCGAACCUGGAUAAUUUAUUACGAAUUCAUCGCAAUUUUUCGGUGAUUAGUAGGGAAGAUAGAGGCGCUGGAGAAAGGGGAAAGCGAUAGAAGCGCUGUCACCUUUGGUGGUAGCGGUGCUGGUCGACUUGCUGGUGGAGGUAUUGGAGUAGCGAUGGAGGAGUAGAGAAAGCUCGGAGGCAGUGAAGUCGUGGUGGCGGGGUCUGAGGACCACGGCUAGGACUAGCGGUCGUUGGCGACGUUGGAGCGGGUCUUCGACAGCGAUGAUGCAUGGGAGAUCUGGGGUCACGGAGGAUGGGAUGAUGUCAUCAUUGGGGGGUGGUCAGAGAUGAAGGGAUGGCAUGGUGAUGCUGGUUGGAGCAAAAUAGGGCGGGGCCAUUGCCGCUAUUCUUGGCGGCGUCAGAUCUGGGCUGAGACAAAGGGGAUUGGCAGCGAGGGUGGCGUUUAUGGCUGGCUCCGACGACUGACGCUCUUUUGAGGCACCGGAAAAAGAAGAUGAUGGGGGUUUCGUGGUGGUGUUAGAUUUCGCGUUGGUGCCAAUGUGGAGAGGGACGACAGAAGAGGUUCUUUGAGAGAGAGGGAGUAGAGAGAGGGAUCAAGAGGGGGAGGAUGAUAGGGAAUGAGAUUAGGGUUAGGGUUUGUUGUUGGUUUAAAAGGAAGGUAAGGGGAUU
rnacentral:lncRNA from 1 species